GUUCGUCUUCAGGGGCAGGGUGUAAUUCCCGACCGGUGGUUAUAGUCCACGACUCGUUUUUAACGAUUGAAUUGGUGUAAUUCCAAUACCGACAGUAUAGUCUGGAUAAAGAAGAUAGGG
rfam:Enterococcus faecalis V583, complete genome.